rnacentral:rRNA from 1 species
CCUUCGGUGCUCGAGUUGUAAUUUGUAGAGGGAUACUUUGGGGCCGUUCCUUGUCUAUGUUCCUUGGAACAGGACGUCAUAGAGGGUGAGAAUCCCGUGUGGCGAGGAGUGCGGUUCUAUGUAAAGUGCCUUCGAAGAGUCGAGUUGUUUGGGAAUGCAGCUCUAAGUGGGUGGUAAAUUCCAUCUAAAGCUAAAUAUUGGCGAGAGACCGAUAGCGAACAAGUACAGUGAUGGAAAGAUGAAAAGAACUUUGAAAAGAGAGUGAAAAAGUACGUGAAAUUGUUGAAAGGGAAGGGCAUUUGAUCAGACAUGGUGUUUUGCGCCCUCUGCUCCUUGUGGGUGGGGGACUCUCGCAGCUCACUGGGCCAACAUCAGUUUUGGUGGUCGGACAAAUCCGUAGGAAUGUAGCUUACCUCGGUAAGUGUUAUAGCCUGCGGGAAUACGGCC